AGGAGGGCAUGGGCUAUUUAUGGACGCGCUCGGGCUCGAGGAUUAAGGGACGGAGCGAGGGGAAUCCGGCGGUGAGCGCGCGGCGGCGAAGAAGGAAGGCGCGCGGCAGACGCGGGGGCUUUCCUUCCGGGGAAGAAGCCCCUGACAGGUGGGCCCCACCUGUCAGCGGGUGCAGGCACGCGCGCGGGGCGGCUGGGCUAGCGGGGCUGCGGCGCGAGCGAGGGAGUUGGGCCGGUUUGGCCCAAUUCGGCCGGGCCGGUCCGUUUGCUCCUUUUUUUUUCUUUUACCCUUUUCUUUUUCUGUUUUUCUUAUUCCUUUGAUAUUUUUUGAUUUUGAACUCCAAAUUGGUCCAAAUAAAUCCUAGAAAAUUUGUAAAAUCAUGUUCUACCAUGAUACAACUUUUGGAAGCAGUUUCUCUUCAAAAUAAAAUAUAUAAAAAUACAUUUGGCCUAUAAUGCCUUUAGGGCCAUAUAUCUAUUUAAAUAAAAUACCUUUUCCACUCCAAUAAUUAUCCAAAAAUUAUGGGAUAGCUUAUAUAUGCACUAAACCCCUUUUAUACAUAAAACCUAUUGGUUUGAAAAUCCAAAACUCAAAUGGGUGUAAACCCUAGGGUUCAAAAUGAAACAAAGUCUUUUAAAGCCCUUUUGAGAUUCAAAAUUUGAAUUCAAAUAUGCAAUUGUGGCAUGAUGCUCAUGGGUGCAAUGCAUAUAUAAAAGUUUGAAAUUUUGGGAUGUUACAAACAUCAGUGUCGGUUGCGGCCACGACCGUUACCGAUGAACCGAGCGGGCACUG
rnacentral:lncRNA from 1 species